UACGUAGGGGGCAAGCGUUGUCCGGAAUCAUUGGGCGUAAAGAGCGUGUAGGCGGCCAGAUAAGUCCGCUGUGAAAACUCGAGGCUCAACUUCGAGCUGUCGGCGGAAACUAUCUGGCUAGAGUCCGGAAGAGGAGAGUGGAAUUCCUGGUGUAGCGGUGAAAUGCGCAGAUAUCAGGAAGAACACCAAUGGCGAAGGCAGCUCUCUGGGACGGUACUGACGCUGAGACGCGAAAGCGUGGGGAGCGAACAGG
rnacentral:rRNA from 1 species